rnacentral:rRNA from 1 species
UUAAGCGACUAAGCGUACACGGUGGAUGCCCUGGCAGUCAGAGGCGAUGAAGGACGUGCUAAUCUGCGAAAAGCGUCGGUAAGGUGAUAUGAACCGUUAUAACCGGCGAUGUCCGAAUGGGGAAACCCAGUGCAAUUCGUUGCACUAUCGUUAACUGAAUACAUAGGUUAACGAGGCGAACCGGGGGAACUGAAACAUCUAAGUACCCCGAGGAAAAGAAAUCAACCGAGAUUCCCCCAGUAGCGGCGAGCGAACGGGGAGCAGCCCAGAGUCUGAAUCAGCUUGUGUGUUAGUGGAACGGUCUGGAAAGUCCGACGGUACAGGGUGAUAGUCCCGUACACCAAAAUGCACAGGCUGUGAACUCGAAGAGUAGGGCGGGACACGUGGUAUCCUGUCUGAAUAUGGGGGGACCAUCCUCCAAGGCUAAAUACUCCUGACUGACCGAUAGUGAACCAGUACCGUGAGGGAAAGGCGAAAAGAACCCCGGCGAGGGGAGUGAAAAAGAACCUGAAACCGUGUACGUACAAGCAGUGGGAGCACCUUCGGGUGUGACUGCGUACCUUUUGUAUAAUGGGUCAGCGACUUAUAUUCUGUAGCAAGGUUAACCGUAUAGGGGAGCCGCAGGGAAACCGAGUCUUAACUGGGCGUUAAGUUGCAGGGUAUAGACCCGAAACCCGGUGAUCUAGCCAUGGGCAGGUUGAAGGUUGGGUAACACUAACUGGAGGACCGAACCGACUAAUGUUGAAAAAUUAGCGGAUGACUUGUGGCUGGGGGUGAAAGGCCAAUCAAACCGGGAGAUAGCUGGUUCUCCCCGAAAGCUAUUUAGGUAGCGCCUCGUGAAUUCAUCUUCGGGGGUAGAGCACUGUUUCGGCUAGGGGGUCAUCCCGACUUACCAACCCGAUGCAAACUACGAAUACCGAAGAAUGUUAUCACGGGAGACACACGGCGGGUGCUAACGUCCGUCGUGAAGAGGGAAACAACCCAGACCGCCAGCUAAGGUCCCAAAGUCACAGUUAAGUGGGAAACGAUGUGGGAAGGCACAGACAGCCAGGAUGUUGGCUUAGAAGCAGCCAUCAUUUAAAGAAAGCGUAAUAGCUCACUGGUCGAGUCGGCCUGCGCGGAAGAUGUAACGGGGCUAAACUGUGCACCGAAGCUGCGGCAGCGACACUAUGUGUUGUUGGGUAGGGGAGCGUUCUGUAAGCCUGCGAAGGUGGCCUGUGAGGGUUGCUGGAGGUAUCAGAAGUGCGAAUGCUGACAUAAGUAACGAUAAAGCGGGUGAAAAGCCCGCUCGCCGGAAGACCAAGGGUUCCUGUCCAACGUUAAUCGGGGCAGGGUGAGUCGACCCCUAAGGCGAGGCCGAAAGGCGUAGUCGAUGGGAAACAGGUUAAUAUUCCUGUACUUGGUGUUACUGCGAAGGGGGGACGGAGAAGGCUAUGUUAGCCGGGCGACGGUUGUCCCGGUUUAAGCAUGUAGGCUGGUUAUCCAGGCAAAUCCGGAUAAUCAAGGCUGAGGUGUGAUGACGAGGCACUACGGUGCUGAAGUAACAAAUGCCCUGCUUCCAGGAAAAGCCUCUAAGCAUCAGGUAACAUCAAAUCGUACCCCAAACCGACACAGGUGGUCAGGUAGAGAAUACCAAGGCGCUUGAGAGAACUCGGGUGAAGGAACUAGGCAAAAUGGUGCCGUAACUUCGGGAGAAGGCACGCUGGUGUGUAGGUGAAGCCCCUGCGGGUGGAGCUGAGACCAGUCGAAGAUACCAGCUGGCUGCAACUGUUUAUUAAAAACACAGCACUGUGCAAACACGAAAGUGGACGUAUACGGUGUGACGCCUGCCCGGUGCCGGAAGGUUAAUUGAUGGGGUUAUCCGUAAGGAGAAGCUCUUGAUCGAAGCCCCGGUAAACGGCGGCCGUAACUAUAACGGUCCUAAGGUAGCGAAAUUCCUUGUCGGGUAAGUUCCGACCUGCACGAAUGGCGUAAUGAUGGCCAGGCUGUCUCCACCCGAGACUCAGUGAAAUUGAACUCGCUGUGAAGAUGCAGUGUACCCGCGGCAAGACGGAAAGACCCCGUGAACCUUUACUAUAGCUUGACACUGAACAUUGAGCCUUGAUGUGUAGGAUAGGUGGGAGGCUUUGAAGCGUGGACGCCAGUCUGCGUGGAGCCAACCUUGAAAUACCACCCUUUAAUGUUUGAUGUUCUAACGUUGGCCCCUGACCGGGGUUGCGGACAGUGUCUGGUGGGUAGUUUGACUGGGGCGGUCUCCUCCCAAAGCGUAACGGAGGAGCACGAAGGUUAGCUAAUCCUGGUCGGACAUCAGGAGGUUAGUGCAAUGGCAUAAGCUAGCUUGACUGCGAGCGUGACGGCGCGAGCAGGUGCGAAAGCAGGUCAUAGUGAUCCGGUGGUUCUGAAUGGAAGGGCCAUCGCUCAACGGAUAAAAGGUACUCCGGGGAUAACAGGCUGAUACCGCCCAAGAGUUCAUAUCGACGGCGGUGUUUGGCACCUCGAUGUCGGCUCAUCACAUCCUGGGGCUGAAGUAGGUCCCAAGGGUAUGGCUGUUCGCCAUUUAAAGUGGUACGCGAGCUGGGUUUAGAACGUCGUGAGACAGUUCGGUCCCUAUCUGCCGUGGGCGCUGGAGAAUUGAGGGGGGCUGCUCCUAGUACGAGAGGACCGGAGUGGACGCAUCACUGGUGUUCGGGUUGUCAUGCCAAUGGCACUGCCCGGUAGCUAAAUGCGGAAGAGAUAAGUGCUGAAAGCAUCUAAGCACGAAACUUGCCCCGAGAUGAGUUCUCCCUGAGACUAUAAGUCUCCUGAAGGAACGUUAAAGACGAUGACGUUGAUAGGCCGGGUGUGUAAGCGCAGCGAUGCGUUGAGCUAACCGGUACUAAUGAACCGUGAGGCUUAACCUU